GUAAUCCCAGCUAUGAGGGAGGCUGAGGCAGGAGAAUCGCUUGAACCCAGAAUGUGAAGGUUGCAGUGAGCCAAGAUCACAUCACUGUAUUCCAGCCUGGAUGACAGAGGGAAACUCCGUCUCAAAAAAAAAACAAAAAAAAAAGAACUUGUGCCCCUUACUCCUGCCACCUGGACAAGUCCUCAAGUGCUUUCCCAUGAGAUAAAGCUGGUGGGAAGCUCAUUCCUGUUUCACAGAUGAGAAGUGUAAGGUCUAGAGAGGAGCCGGGACUUGCCUAAGGUCACACAGCCAGGGAGGUGGAUGUUAGGGUCCCUGCCUCGGGUUUGGAGAAGCAUGGUGGACACAGAGCUAGUGGAUUUGAGAGGCAGGGGUGGUCCCCUAUUCACCUCUGUUGCUCCCCCAACUCCAGAGUGACAGAGCUGGGCCUGGCAGUGGAGCGUCUUCAGAAGCAGAAUCUGGAGAAGGAUCAGGUCAACAAGGACAUCACCGAGAAGCUUGAGGCCCUGGAAUCCGUGGGGCUACAGGAGCAGGCGGCCCUGGAGACAGAGGACGGAGAGGGGCUACAGCAGACCCUAAGGGACCUGGCACAGGUGUGAGCCCAGAGAGGCAGGAAGACAGGGCCCUGCCAGGCGGUCCCGGGCUCCCCCGCUACGCCUUUCGGUGGCUUAGGACUGAACUGCAAAUCGGUGGGGGCCUGGGGCCCAGGCUGUAGCUGCUCAGCACCCCUGCUAGCUCACCCGGCCCCUGCCCUGGGGAACCCCCAGUGUCAGAGGGGAGGCACGGCCCUUUCGGAGCCCACCUGUGAGCAAGCGCC
rnacentral:lncRNA from 1 species